AACCUUCACAAUGCACGAAAGUGUGAUGAGGGAAUCCCACGUGCUCAUGUUUCACAUGGGCUUUUGCUGAAUGUAAGGAGUUCAGCGAAUAAGGGGUGGGUAAGACUGGUGCCAGCCGCCGCGGUAACACCAGCGCCCCGAGUGGCAGUCGCGAUUAUUGGGCCUAAAGCGUUCGUAGCCGGCUUUGUAAAUCCCAUGUGAAAUCGUCACGCUUAACGUGACGGCGUGCAGGGGACACUGCAAGGCUCGGGACCGGGAGGAGUCUGAGGUAUGCCAUGGGGACCGGUAAAAUGGGAUAAUCCAUGGUAGACCACCGAUGGCGAAGGCAUCAGACCAGAACGGAUCCGACGGUGAGGAACGAAAGCCAGGGGAGCGAACCGGAUUAGAUACCCGAGUAGUCCUGGCCGUAAACGCUGUGAGCUAGGUGUUGCUCAUCCUACGAGGAUGAGCAGUGUCGAAACGAAGGUGAUAAGCUCACCGCCUGGGAAGUACGGUCGCAAGACUGAAACUUUA
rnacentral:rRNA from 1 species